rnacentral:rRNA from 1 species
AGUGAACGCUGGCGGUAGGCCUAACACAUGCAAGUCGAACGGCAGCACAGUAAGAGCUUGCUCUUACGGGUGGCGAGUGGCGGACGGGUGAGGAAUACAUCGGAAUCUACUUUUUCGUGGGGGAUAACGUAGGGAAACUUACGCUAAUACUGCAUACGACCUACGGGUGAAAGCAGGGGAUCUUCGGACCUUGCGCGAUUGAAUGAGCCGAUGUCGGAUUAGCUAGUUGGCGGGGUAAAGGCCCACCAAGGCGACGAUCCGUAGCUGGUCUGAGAGGAUGAUCAGCCACACUGGAACUGAGACACGGUCCAGACUCCUACGGGAGGCAGCAGUGGGGAAUAUUGGACAAUGGGCGCAAGCCUGAUCCAGCCAUACCGCGUGGGUGAAGAAGGCCUUCGGGUUGUAAAGCCCUUUUGUUGGGAAAGAAAAGCAGCAGGUUAAUACCCCGCUGUUCUGACGUUACCCAAAGAAUAAGCACCGGCUAACUUCGUG